CCUAAUAAAAGACAACAAUCACUACAAAUAGGUCAAGGACUCAAAAGGGAAUAUAUUUCUAAACUAACCCUUUUGCAAGCAGCAAUGUUUCUCCCAGAAAACAGUACACAACAUAAGUAAUUCCAAUUGUGUAUGUAAAUGUAUACUCUACAACAUCAAAAUAAUUUAGAGAACUCAUCCUCUAUGCAUGCCGGCAGGACAUACUGUAGGUAUUGGUCUAGAACCCCUCCUCACUCACUUCACUCACUUCGCUGGAAUGAUCUACAUACGACCGAUCCAUUGGACUGCUCUCGAGUGCACCAAGUCAGCCUUCCAUUCAAUCAAAACUAAAUCCUAGGUCCAUUACCUCAGACAUUGCGAAAAUUCCCCUAUAGAAUGUUUGAUACGGCAAAAAUACGAGCCCGAUGGAAUAGAUUCACCCAGCCUCCUCAACCCUCUCGGUCACGCCAACAACCCUGUAUGUGCAACCGACGAAACAAUUGUCGGCGCAGUC